UGGGAUUCAUGAAGCAAGUCGAAAGAGGAAAAUGGCGGCACCUAAACUUUCUCGUCACAAACCGCUGCAGCUCGGUUCUCAAUGGCGCCCGACCACAAAUCCAAUCCAAACAAGAAAAGAAAGAAUUACCUCCCCCAAUAUAAGCCAGUGAAAAAGGGUUCUUACCCGUUGCGCCCGGGAGUUGAGGGAUUCUUUAUAACGUGCGAUGGUGGGAGGGAGCACCAGGCAGCAAAUGAAGCUAUCAAUGUCAUUGAAUCUUUCUAUGAGGAGUUGGUGGAUGAUGAUGAUGCAGAGUUAAGAGUUGAGCACACAGAAUUAUCUAGGAAGCCUUCAAACAAAAUCAUAAAAUUCGCAUCGGAUUCUUCUGGCAGCGACAACGAUGAUGAUGAUGAUGACAAAGAUGGCAAUAAAGAUGAUGCGAAGGAUAUAAACAAUCUAGAGACAGGGGAUGACAAAGACCAAAAUGCUGUUGCCUCAACUGACAAUGGAAAUGAUGAGUUAAGACUUGAAACUGAGAAUGUUGUGCCUUCCGAGAAUCAAGCACUUACAGAGGAAAAGAAACCUGAGAUACAAGAUAUCAAAGAAUCUGAGACACCUGAGAAUCAAGAAAUCAAAGAAGCUGAGGCUCUGGGGCCACCGGCUAAGAGGCAAUGCACCGAUGCAGAUGCUGCAAACAAUGGAACAUUGUCCAAAAAGGUUGAGACUAAAUCUGUUGAUAAGUUGAUUGAAGCUGAGCUGGCAGAACUGGGAGAUAAGAGCAAGAGGCGUUUUUGUAAACUUGACACUGGUUGUAAUGGUGUUAUCUUCAUACAAAUGCGUAAGAGAGAAGGAGAUCCCAGCACAAAAGAUAUCGUGCAUCGCAUGAUGACUUCUCUUGCUGUAACCAAGAAACACGUCUCAAGGUUUCUAUUAAGGCUGCUUCCAGUUGAAGUAUCAUGCUACCCUUCAGAUGAAGAAAUCAGACAAGCCAUCAAACCUGUCAUUGAAAAGUAUUUUCCUGUAGAAACUGAGAAACCACGUAAGUUUUCAGUUCUGUAUGAUGCUCGCGCAAACACUGGCAUCAAUCGUGCAAAAGUUAUCGAUGCAGUCGCCAAAUGUGUUCCAUCUAUGCACAAGGUCGAUCUGGCCAACCCGGAUAUAAGUAUUAUGGUCCAAAUUGUCAAGGAGUGCACCUACUCCAUAACUGACAUAAAACUGGCAUUUUGAUUGUGCUUGCUGCAAGCAUUGAUACAUGCAUAAGCAUGCCUUGAAGAUGAGACUUACAUCUAUCUGAAAUUGUAGACUGUUUGCUUGAUUGGAGUUGUGGAGAAGUACAAGGAAUUCGCAAAGUAUAACUUGAGGCAGCUUAGCAGCCCCUCAAAUGAGGGGUAAAAUUAUGUUAUGAAGGCAUGGGGAUCUACAGAUUUUCUUUUACUUUUUCUACUUCUAUUUUCGUUAGGAACUCAACUGAAUCGCUUGGUGCAUUUGAUAAGAGAUUUGGUGAAUUUAUGUUUAACCACGAAUGAUUUGGGCUGCAAUUGGCUGAUAA